rnacentral:misc_RNA from 1 species
GAUGAAGAACGCAGCGAAAUGCGAUAAGUAGUGUGAAUUGCAGAAUUCAGUGAAUCAUCGAAUCUUUGAACGCACAUUGCGCCCGCCAGCAUUCUGGCGGGCAUGCCUGUUCGAGCGUCAUUUCAACCCUCGACCUCCCCUUGGGGAGGUCGGCGUUGGGGACCGGCAGCACACCGCCGGCCCUGAAAUGGAGUGGCGGCCCGUCCGCGGCGACCUCUGCGCAGUAAUACAGCUCGCACCGGGACCCCGACGCGGCCACGCCGUAAAACACCCAACUUCUGAACGUUGACCUCGAAUCAGGUAGGACUACCCGCUGAACUUAAGCAUAUCAAUAAGCGGAGGA